CGUAGGGGGCGAGCGUUGUUCCGGAUUUACUGGGUGUAAAGGGUGCUCAGGUGGCUUGGAUAGUCAGUGGUGAAAUCUGAGAGCUUAACUCUCAAACUGCCAUUGAUACUUCCUGGCUUGAGUACGGAAGAGGCUGAUGGAAUUUCAGGUGUAGCAGUGAAAUGCGUAGAUAUCUGAAAGAACACCAGUGGCGAAGGCGGUCAGCUGGUCCGUUACUGACACUAUAGCACGAAAGCGUGGGUAGCAAACAGGAUUAGAUACCCUGGUAGUCCACGCCCUAAACGAUGAAUACUAGACGUCGGGUGUAAAAACUCAGUGCCGCAGCUAACGCAUUAAGUAUUCCACCUGGGGAGUACGAUCGCAAGGUUG
rnacentral:rRNA from 1 species